rnacentral:misc_RNA from 1 species
GAAAUGCGAUAAGUAAUGUGAAUUGCAGAAUUCAGUGAAUCAUCGAAUCUUUGAACGCACCUUGCGCUCCUUGGUAUUCCUUGGAGCAUGCCUGUUUGAGUAUCAUGAAAUCUUCAAAGUAAGUCUUUUGUUAACUCAAUUGGUUUCUACUUUGGUAUUGGAGGUCUUUGCAGCUUCACACCUGCUCCUCUUUGUUCAUUAGCUGGAUCUCAGUGUUAUGCUUGGUUCCACUCGGCGUGAUAAGUUAUCUAUCGCUGAGGACACUGUAAAAGGUGGCCAAGGUAAAUGCAGAUGAACCGCUUCUAAUAGUCCAUUGACUUGGACAAUACUUUUAUGAUCUGAUCUCAAAUCAGGUAGGACUACCCGCUGAACUUAAGC